AGUCCAGACUCCUACGGGAGGCAGCAGUGAGGAAUAUUGGUCAAUGGGCGAGAGCCUGAACCAGCCAAGUCGCGUGAAGGAUGACGGCCCUACGGGUUGUAAACUUCUUUUGUCAGGGAGCAAUUGAGUCCACGUGUGGGCUUAGCGAGAGUACCUGAAGAAAAAGCAUCGGCUAACUCCGUGCCAGCAGCCGCGGUAAUACGGAGGAUGCGAGCGUUAUCCGGAUUUAUUGGGUUUAAAGGGUGCGAGGGGGGCCUGUUAAGCGGGGGGAAAAAGCCGGGGGCCCAACCCCGGCGAGCCGUUGAAACUGGCGGGCUGGAGUUGGAGAGAAGUACGCGGAAUGCGCGGUGUAGCGGUGAAAUGCUUAGAUAUCGCGCAGAACCCCGAUUGCGAAGGCAGCGUACCGGCUCCACACUGACGCUGAGGCACGAAAGCGUGGGUAUCGAACAGGAUUAGAUACCCGCGUA
rnacentral:rRNA from 1 species